CUGCCCGUAUGCGCCUGAGCCGGCCUGCCCAAUAUAUUCGUAGCGCUGUUCCAGUGUUUAAGGAUAAAUCCAGAGUUAUUAGGAAGAAGACAGCAGACAGUACCAUGCAGCAAGAGGUCGCACCUCCAUUACGGAAUAGCACUGGAUUUAGAUGCGACAAGUCACCUGCAACCUCUUUGCAUUCCUGCUGUGUGUUUGGCAGGUUUAGGAAUGCGACCAGGACGAAAAAGCCUGUGUUACAAGUGUAUGCAUCAGGACAGGGCAAACAACUAGUCGCUACUACUGUUUAGUAUUUCGUCAGCACUGCAUCAAACGAUGCAGUUUUCUGAGUUCAUAGACUGUACGGCUCCGCACAGCCGUAUUUGAAACUUAAGAUGCCUAGAACCACCGCGCCGAGAUAGAUCGUUGUGUGGAACCUGCUUACGGACAUGAACCAUAUACAUAUGCAUCUAAAAUUUGAGGGCAGUUCAAGCAUCUCCCAAUAUCCACCUCGGGCCUGCACAGUGCGUACGAUAAACACGAAAUACGCUGACGAGCUUACAAAAUUUUAAAAUCGAUCAUUGAAAUUGGGAAAUAUAAGCCCACCCCAGUUGUGAAUGCUAACUCACUGGUAAACUAGUGCCGACGUGUUCAUUACCUCGGGAAACGCGGAAAAUUCGUUCUACACGUAUGGGCCGCGUAAAUGUUCACUGCACGUUAAACAAAAAAGCUCAUUUGGCAUUCACGAAGAAAGUUCAUCAACCGUUUUUUCUUCGUACAACAACUAUUUACUUUUUGAGAAGCAU
rnacentral:lncRNA from 1 species